rnacentral:rRNA from 1 species
UGCGUAGGUGGCCGAUUAAGUCAGUGGUGAAAGCCUACAGCUCAACUGUAGAGGUGCCAUUGAUACUGGUCGGCUUGAGUAUGGACGAGGUAGGCGGAAUCUGUGGUGUAGCGGUGAAAUGCAUAGAUACCACAAAGAACACCAAUAGCGAAGGCAGCUUACUGGACCAUAACUGACACUGAGGCACGAAAGCGUGGGGAGCGAACAGGAUUAGAUACCCUGGUAGUCC